rnacentral:rRNA from 1 species
AACGAACGCUGGCGGCAUGCCUAACACAUGCAAGUCGAACGAGACCUUCGGGUCUAGUGGCGCACGGGUGCGUAACGCGUGGGAACCUGCCCUUAGGUUCGGAAUAACUCCCCGAAAGGGGUGCUAAUACCGGAUAAUGUCUUCGGAUCAAAGAUUUAUCGCCUUUGGAUGGGCCCGCGUUGGAUUAGCUAGUUGGUAGGGUAAAAGCCUACCAAGGCGACGAUCCAUAGCUGGUCUGAGAGGAUGAUCAGCCACACUGGGACUGAGACACGGCCCAGACUCCUACGGGAAGCAGCAGUGGGGAAUAUUGGACAAUGGGCGAAAGCCUGAUCCAGCAAUGCCGCGUGAGUGAUGAAGGCCUUAGGGUUGUAAAGCUCUUUUACCCGGGAUGAUAAUGACAGUACCGGGAGAAUAAGCUCCGGCUAACUCCGUG